rnacentral:rRNA from 1 species
GACGUAGGGGCGCGAGCGUUGUCCGGAAUUAUUGGGCGUAAAGGGCUCGUAGGCGGUCUGUUGCGUCAGGAGUGAAAACUCGGGGCUUAACCCCGAGCCUGCUUCUGAUACGGGCAGACUAGAGGUAUGCAGGGGAGAACGGAAUUCCUGGUGUAGCGGUGAAAUGCGCAGAUAUCAGGAAGAACACCCGUGGCGAAGGCGGCUCUCUGGGACGGUACUGACGCUGAGACGCGAAAGCGUGGGGAGCGAACAGG